CUACGGGGCGCAGCAGUGGGGAAUUUUGCGCAAUGGGGGGAACCCUGACGCAGCAAUACCGCGUGAGUGAAGAAGGCCUUUGGGUCGUAAAGCUCUUUUCUGAAGGAAGAUAGUGACGGUACUUCAGGAAUAAGCACCGGCUAACUCCGUGCCAGCAGCCGCGGUAAUACGGAGGGUGCGAGCGUUGUUCGGAUUUACUGGGCGUAAAGGGCACGUAGGCGGCCUGGCAAGUUAAGGGUGAAAUCCCGGGGCUUAACUCCGGAACUGCUCUUAAAACUGCCAGAGCUAGAGAUAGUCAGAGGCGGGUGGAAUUCCUGGUGUAGAGGUGAAAUUCGUAGAUAUCAGGAGGAACGCCGGUGGCGAAGGCGGCCCGCUGGGGCUAUUCUGACGCUAAGGUGCGAAAGCGUGGGGAGCGAACGGGAUUAGAUACCCUAGUAGUC
rnacentral:rRNA from 1 species